GACGAACGCUGGCGGCGUGCUUAACACAUGCAAGUCGAGCGGAAAGGCCCUGCUUUUGUGGGGUGCUCGAGUGGCGAACGGGUGAGUAACACGUGAGUAACCUGCCCUUGACUUUGGGAUAACUUCAGGAAACUGGGGCUAAUACCGGAUAGGAGCUCCUGCUGCAUGGUGGGGGUUGGAAAGUUUCGGCGGUUGGGGAUGGACUCGCGGCUUAUCAGCUUGUUGGUGGGGUAGUGGCUUACCAAGGCUUUGACGGGUAGCCGGCCUGAGAGGGUGACCGGCCACAUUGGGACUGAGAUACGGCGCAGACUCCUACGGGAGGCAGCAGUGGGGAAUAUUGCACAAUGGGCGGAAGCCUGAUGCAGCAACGCCGCGUGCGGGAUGACGGCCUUCGGGUUGUAAACCGCUUUCGCCUGUGACGAAGCGUGAGUGACGGUAAUGGGUAAAGAAGCACCGGCUAACUACGUG
rnacentral:rRNA from 1 species